UACGUAGGGGGCAAGCGUUGUCCGGAUUUAUUGGGCGUAAAGAGCGUGUAGGCGGCCAGACAGGUCCGUUGUGAAAACUCGAGGCUCAACCUCGAGAUGUCGAUGGAAACCGUCUGGCUAGAGUCCGGAAGAGGAGUGUGGAAUUCCUGGUGUAGUGGUGAAAUGCGUAGAGAUCGGGAGGAACACCUGUGGCGAAGGCGGCCCCCUGGGCCGCACCUGACGCUGAGACGCGAAGGCGUGGGGAGCGAACGGG
rnacentral:rRNA from 1 species